GAGGAAUAUUGGUCAAUGGACGCAAGUCUGAACCAGCCAUGCCGCGUGCAGGAUGACGGUCCUAUGGAUUGUAAACUGCUUUUGUACAGGAAGAAACCCUCUUUCGUGAAAGAGAUUGACGGUACUGUAAGAAUAAGGAUCGGCUAACUCCGUGCCAGCAGCCGCGGUAAUACGGAGGAUCCAAGCGUUAUCCGGAAUCAUUGGGUUUAAAGGGUCCGUAGGCGGUUUUGUAAGUCAGUGGUGAAAUCUGGUCGCUCAACGAUCAAACGGCCAUUGAUACUGCAAGACUUGAAUUACUAGGAAGUAACUAGAAUAUGUAGUGUAGCGGUGAAAUGCUUAGAUAUUACAUGGAAUACCAAUUGCGAAGGCAGGUUACUACUAGUGGAUUGACGCUGAUGGACGAAAGCGUGGGGAGCGAAC
rnacentral:rRNA from 1 species